AUGGCUAUCCAUGUCAACCUCUCUUAACAAAAAAAAAAUAGAAAAGAAAUAAUAAAGUAAAUACAAGCCCUCAACUAACCUAGCACCAUGUCAUUUUCAAUUCUCAAAUAGGAUCCCACUUUCCUCUCUCUGCACACAGAAGAAAACCGUUUUUCAUCACCAAAUCCACAUCAUAACCCUUCUCUCUCACGAGAUGCUCAACCUUUCUCACAUAAAUAUAUCACAACUCAGUAUUCACCAUUUUUUUU
rnacentral:lncRNA from 1 species